rnacentral:rRNA from 1 species
UGCAAGUCGAACGGCAGCGCGGGGCAACCUGGCGGCGAGUGGCGAACGGGUGAGUAAUAUAUCGGAACGUGCCCUGGAGUGGGGGAUAACGUAGCGAAAGUUACGCUAAUACCGCAUACGAUCUCAGGAUGAAAGCAGGGGACCGCAAGGCCUUGUGCUCCUGGAGCGGCCGGUAUCUGAUUAGCUAGUUGGUGGGGUAAAAGCCUACCAAGGCGACGAUCAGUAGCUGGUCUGAGAGGACGACCAGCCACACUGGAACUGAGACACGGUCCAGACUCCUACGGGAGGCAGCAGUGGGGAAUUUUGGACAAUGGGGGCAACCCUGAUCCAGCAAUGCCGCGUGUGUGAAGAAGGCCUUCGGGUUGUAAAGCACUUUUGUCAGGAACGAAACGGUUGUCCCUAAUAUGGAUGGCUAAUGACGGUACCUGAAGAAUAAGCACCGGCUAACUACGUGCCAGCAGCCGCGGUAAUACGUAGGGUGCAAGCGUUAAUCGGAAUUACUGGGCGUAAAGCGUGCGCAGGCGGUUAUGUAAGACAGAUGUGAAAUGCCCGGGCUUAACCUGGGGACUGCAUUUGUGACUGCAUGGCUAGAAUCUGGCAGAGGGGGGUAGAAUUCCACGUGUAGCAGUGAAAUGCGUAGAGAUGUGGAGGAACACCGAUGGCGAAGGCAGCCCCCUGGGCUAAGAUUGACGCUCAUGCACGAAAGCGUGGGGAGCAAACAGGAUUAGAUACCCUGGUAGUCCACGCCCUAAACGAUGUCUACUAGUUGUCGGGUCUUAAUUGACUUGGUAACGCAGCUAACGCGUGAAGUAGACCGCCUGGGGAGUA